rnacentral:rRNA from 1 species
ACAUGCAAGUCGAGGGGCAGCAUGAAGGUUAGCAAUAACCUUUGAUGGCGACCGGCGCAAGGGUGCGUAACGCGUGAGCAACAUGCCCGUCACAGGAGGAUAAUCCAUGGAAACGUGGUCUAAUACUCCAUAGUAUCGGAGUGAGGCAUCUCAUUCUGAUUAAAGCUUCGGUGGUGACGGAUUGGCUCGCGUGACAUUAGUUAGAUGGAGAGGUAACGGCUCACCAUGGCUACGAUGUCUAGGGGAACUGAGAGGUUUAUCCCCCACACUGGUACUGAGACACGGACCAGACUCCUACGGGAGGCAGCAGUGAGGAAUAUUGGACAAUGGAUGGAAAUCUGAUCCAGCCAUGCCGCGUGCAGGACGACGGCCCUAUGGGUCUUAAACUGCUUUUGUAUGGGAGCAAUAAGUUCUACGAGUAGGAUGAUGAGAGUACCAUACGAAUAAGCAUCGGCUAACUCCGUG